rnacentral:rRNA from 1 species
UACGUAGGGGCUAGCGUUGUCCGGAUUUAUUGGGCGUAAAGAGCGUGUAGGCGGCCAGGUAGGUCUGCUGUGAAAACUCGAGGCUCAACCUCGAGAUGUCGGCGGAAACCAUCUGGCUAGAGUCCGGAAGAGGAAAGUGGAAUUCCUGGUGUAGCGGUGAAAUGCGCAGAUAUCAGGAAGAACACCCGUGGCGAAGGCGGCUUUCUGGGACGGUACUGACGCUGAGACGCGAAAGCGU